rnacentral:lncRNA from 1 species
GUGCUGCAUCCUGUCGAUAUUUGUAUUUUGGCAUUUUACAUGUUUUCUCAUACUGUAGAAGACGUCUUUACAUUAAAUCCAUUCGAUAUGUAUUUUUGAUAUAUUUAUGUCUGAGAAACAUCAUAAUGUUGUUAGUUGUAAUUGGCUUUGAACUAGCUUUCUGUAACUCUAGGUACUUUUUGGUCGGUACGGUGUGUCUUUAGUCCUUUUUAAUUGUUUUUGUACUUUGUGCCGACCUGAUGGGUUAAAAUUAAAACUUUUUCAACUGAUUGUUUAUAGUUUAUUCUAAUGGUACACCGUUGAACCAGAUAAAGGUAGGGCCGAGUGCUUCCAAACAUGUUUAACGCCGCCAAAUUUUGUAUAUGAUUGUCCUACGUUAGCAGCCUGUGAUUUAGUGGUUUUCGUUGGUUGUUGUCCAUCAUAUUUGUUUUUCGUUUAUUGGUUUGCACAUAUGUUUGUUUUCUUGAUUGAAUGGUUUAACAUUUUGUCAUGUAUGAGCCAUUUUAGCUCACUGUAUGUGGUGUGAUUUUUGCUCAUUAUUGAAGUUCGUAUGGUGACACAAAAUUACUAUCAUUUACAUUAUUUGGUGUCUGGUGGAAAAUUGUCUCAUUGGCAACCAUACCACAUCUUUUUAUUUUAUAUUGAUAUGAUUAUUAGCUUUGUUAUGAUUGCAGUGUGUGUUUUGUGGAGUGCAAUUUUGAAGUGCGGAAUACACCUGAUCGCCAUAUGUCCGCCAUAUCAUUUUCGCUAUAUUUAGAAUGUACAUUUGAACACCAAAAUAUAGUGUGGUGAAUAUAACUGACGAUUUUAUCAGCUAGAAGUGUUAAAUUUUCUAUUUUUAAUCUUUGCUAAACAUGGAUUCAGAGUGGUAUAAAAGGAUAUGAUUACGACUUAGUUUUGUGGUAAUUUGCCUUUUCCAGGAUUAGAAUAAUAUUCUUAUUGCUAGGUUGUUAGUGGUUAAUACGGAAGUGAUACACCUGAUCGCCAUAUGUCCGCCAUAUCAUUUUCGCUAUAUUUAGAAUGUACAUUUGAACACCAAAAUAUAGUGUGGUGAAAAUAACUGACGAUUUUAUCAGCUAGAAGUGUUAAAUUUUCUAUUUUUAAUCUUUGCUAAACAUGGAUUUAGAGUGGUAUAAAAGGAUAUGAUUACGCCUUAGUUUUGUGGUAAUUUGCCUUUUCCAGGAUUAGAAUAAUAUUCUUAUUGAUAGGUUGUUAGUGGUUAAUACGGAAGUGGUUAGAGGUCCAUCCCCAUCCCCAAUCGUCACAACUCGGCCGAUUCCGUACCUCAUCUAGGAGAGAAACGGGGUCACCCGAGGACUGCCGAUUGUCCCCAUCCCGAGUCAAAAAAGGUAAAAUCAUUUUGAUGAGUAAAAUGACAGUUUUGUCGACAAAAGGUAGAGCUCAACAUUUGAACAAUACUGUUCCGGUCAGAUUUUCUCUAUUUACA